UACGUAGGGGGCAAGCGUUGUCCGGAAUCAUUGGGCGUAAAGCGCGUGUAGGCGGCCCGGUAAGUCCGCUGUGGAAGUCGGGGGCUCAACCCUCGGAUGCCGGUGGAUACUGUCGGGCUAGAGUGCGGGAGAGGCGAGUGGAAUUCCUGGUGUAGCGGUGAAAUGCGCAGAUAUCAGGAGGAACACCAAUUGCGAAGGCAGCUCGCUGGAACGUAACUGACGCUGAGACGCGAAAGCGUGGGGAGCAAACAGG
rnacentral:rRNA from 1 species